UGUAACUACAGCCUUUGAUUGUGUUUUCUGGUUUGGUGAUUUGAACUUCCGCAUUGAACGUGAGCGCCAGGCAGUGGUUGGCAAAGUAAAUGAAAUAACAUCAGAGGAGUUCCCAAAUUUCGAAACGCUGCUAGGUGGAGACCAGUUAUUAAAAUACAUGUCUGAAGAUAAAAUUUUUGGAGGCUUCCAAGAGGGCCGAAUAAAUUUUUAUCCCACAUUUAAAUUUGAUUUGAAUAAAGACUCGUAUGACAGCUCAACAAAGAGUAGGGUUCCUUCUUACACUGACAGAGUGGUGUUUCGCUGUAAGAAGAAAAAUGACAUUCAAUGCCUGCAUUAUGAUACUGUCAUGUCU
rnacentral:sRNA from 1 species